rnacentral:rRNA from 1 species
UAAUAGUUUAUUAAAUAUUGAAUUUGAAGUUUAUAUAUAUAUAUAUAUAUAUAUAUAUAUAUAUAUAUAUAUAUAUAUAUAUAUAUAUAUUAAAAAAAAUUAUUUAAUAUAUUAUUUUAUUUAAGUAAUUAUUUAUGAAUAAAUUUAUUUUUUUAUAUAAAAUAGUAUUGUGAAAGAAAUUUAUAAAAUUUUAAGAAAGUAAAAUUUAUUUUUGUACCUUUUGUAUUAGGGUUAAUUAAAAUUAAUAUAUAAUUUAAUAUAUAUCUCGAAUAUAAAUGAGCUAAUUAAAUAAAAUUUUUUUUGUGGCAUAAAGAUUAUGAAUAUUUAGUUUGAUGUGAAAUGUAAUUCGAAUUUUUAGAUAUCUAGUUUUUUUAGAAUUGAAUUUAAUUCAUAUAUUUAGUAUAUAUAUAUAUAUAUAUAUAUAUAUAUAUAUAUAUAUAUAUAAUAUAAAUAAUUUAAGGGAUAACCUUUAAGUUAAUUAUUAUAAUUUUAUUAUUUUAUAUUUUUAUAUAAUUGAUUAUAAAAUUUAAUAUAUUAUUGAAAAAAUUUAAUUAUUUAUAUAUAUAUAUAUAUAUAUAUAUAUAUAUAUAUAUAUAUAUAUUAAAAAUUUAAUAAUUAUAAUAUAAUAUAUUAUAAAAAAUUAUAAUUAAAUUUUUUUAUUUUAAGUAUAAUGAUUAUAUUAGUAAUUAUAAAUUAUAAUUUAUAAUAUUAUAUUUAUAUAUAUAAUAUUUAUUAAUUAAUAUUAAAUAAUUCGGCAAAAUUAUAUUCACCUGUUUAACAAAAACAUGUCUUUUUGAUUUAUUAUUUAAAGUCUUCCCUGCUCCAUGAAAUUUUAAAUAGCUGCAGUAUAUUGACUGUACAAAGGUAGCAUAAUCAUUUGUCUUUUAAUUAAAGGCUAGAAUGAAGGGGGUGAUGAAAUAUAAACUGUUUCGGUAUUAAAAAAUUAAUUUAAAAAUUAAGUAAAAAUGCUUAAAUUUUUUUAGGGGACGAUAAGACCCUAUAGAAUUUUAUAAUUUAUUUAAAGUUAAUAAUUUUAUAAUUAUAUAUAUAUAUAUAUAUAUAUAUAUAUAUAUAUAUAUAUAUAUUAAUAAUUUAUUUAAAUUAUUUUAUUGGGGUGAUAUUUAAAUUUAAUAAACUUUAAUUUUUAUAAUCAUAAAUUAAUGUUAAUUAAAUGAAAUUUUAUUAAAAAUUAUUAGAAAAAUUACCUUAGGGAUAACAGCAUAAUAUCUUUAAGAAGAUCUUAUUUAUAAAGGUGUUUAUGACCUCGAUGUUGAAUUAAGAUAAAUUUUAAAUGCAGAAGUUUAAAAAUUAAGUCUGUUCGACUUAUAGAAUCUUACAUGAUUUGAGUUCAGAUCGGUGUAAGCCAGAUCGGUUUCUAUCUUUAAAUUAAUUUAUAUAUUUUUGUACGAAAGGACUAAUUAUAUUUAAAAUUUAAUUUAUAUAUAUAUAUAUAUAUAUAUAUAUAUAUAUAUAUAUAUAUAUAUAUAUAUAUUAAUUUAAUAAAU